rnacentral:rRNA from 1 species
UACGGAGGGUGCAAGCGUUGUCCGGAUUCAUUGGGUUUAAAGGGUGCGCAGGCGGGACAUUAAGUCAGGGGUGAAAGACGGUUGCUCAACAAUCGCAGUGCCUUUGAUACUGGUGUUCUUGGGUGACCUUGAGGUAGGCGGAAUGGGUGGUGUAGCGGUGAAAUGCAUAGAUACCACCCAGAACUCCGAUUGCGAAGGCAGCCUACUGGAGGUUUACCGACGCUCAGGCACGAAAGCGCGGGGAUCAAACAGG